CAACUUUCAGCGACGGAUGUCUCGGCUCGGACAACGAAGAAGGGCGCAGCGAAGUGUGAUGAGCACUGUGAGUUGCAGGAUUCCGUGAGCCAAUAAGGACUUGAGUGCGCUUUGCGCUUUUGGGAUAUCCUGAAAGCACGCUUGCUUCAGUGUCU
rnacentral:rRNA from 1 species